rnacentral:rRNA from 1 species
UACGGAGGGGGCUAGCGUUGUUCGGAAUUACUGGGCGUAAAGCGCACGUAGGCGGAUCGCUAAGUCAGGGGUGAAAUCCUGGAGCUCAACUCCAGAACUGCCUUUGAUACUGGCAAUCUCGAGUCCGAGAGAGGUGAGUGGAACUGCGAGUGUAGAGGUGAAAUUCGUAGAUAUUCGCAAGAACACCAGUGGCGAAGGCGGACUCACUGGCCCGGGUACUGACGCUGAGGUGCGGAAAGCGUGGGGAGCAAACAGGG